rnacentral:rRNA from 1 species
AUGUGGUUAAUUCGACGCAACGCGAAGAACCUUACCUCGGUUUGACAUCCCGAUCGUAUUUCCUGGAGACAGGAGAGUCAGUUCGGCUGGAUCGGUGACAGGUGCUGCAUGGCUGUCGUCAGCUCGUGUCGUGAGAUGUUGGGUUAAGUCCCGCAACGAGCGCAACCCUUGCCUUUAGUUGCCAGCAGUUCGGCUGGGCACUCUAAAGGGACUGCCGGUGUUAAACCGGAGGAAGGUGGGGAUGACGUCAAGUCCUCAUGGCCUUUAUGACCAGGGCUACACACGUACUACAAUGGCCGAUACAAAGGGCAGCGACACUGCGAGGUGAAGCCAAUCCCGUAAAAUCGGUCUCAGUCCGGAUUGGAGUCUGCAACUCGACUCCAUGAAGUUGGAAUCGCUAGUAAUCGUGGAUCAGCAUGCCACGGUGAAUACGUUCCCGGGCCUU